ACAAUGUUACUAAGAAAAUUGUAGGGAAGAGAAAACAUAUUUGCUAUUUAUUAUGUGGAAACUGAUUAUCAUAAAGGUCUGCAUCCCCAUUGUCUUUACAGUGUGUAGGCUGAGGAGGACUGAGAAGAGAAAACACUGGUGUUACUGUUUCAGGUGUGGCAGAGGCCGAAGACAACUCAAAUAAUUGACUUGGCUAUGCGGGCUCUCUUUUGGUUCCAUAUGAAGUUCAUGGUGGUUUUUUCCAGUUCUGUGAAGAAAGUCAAUGGUAGCUUGAUGGGGAUAGCAUUGAUUCUGUAAAUUACUUUGGGCAGUAUAGCCAUUUUCACGAUAUUAAUUCUUCCUAACCAUGAACAUGGAAUGUUUCUCCAUCUGUUUAUGUCCUCUCUGAUUUCGUUGAGCAGUGGUUUGUAGUUCUCCUUGAAGAGGUCCCUUAUGUUCCUUGUGAGUUGUAUUCCAAGGUAUUUUAUUCUUUUUGUAGCAAUUGUGAAUGGCAGUUCGUUCUUGAUUUGGCUCUCUUUAAGUCUGUUAUUGGUAUAGACGAAUGCUUGUGAUUUUUGCACAUUGAUUUUAUAUCCUGAGACUUUGAUGAAGUUGCUUAUCAGUUUCAGGAGUUUUUGGGCUGAGGCAAUGGGGUCUUCUAGGUAUACUAUCAUGUCGUCUGCAAAUAGAGACAAUUUGGCUUCCACCUUUCCUAUUUGAAUACCCUUUAUUUCUUUUUCUUGCCUGAUUGCUCUGGCUAGAACUUCCAGUACUAUAUUGAAUAGGAGUGGUGAAAGAGGGCAUCCUUGUCUAGUGCCAGAUUUUAAAGGGAAUGCUUCCAGUUUUUGCCCAUUCAGUAUGAUAUUGGCUGUUGGUUUGUCAUAAAUAGCUUUUAUUACUUUGAAAUACGUUCCAUCGAUGCCGAGUUUAUUGAGGGUUUUUAGCAUAAAGGGCUGUUGAAUUUUGUCGAAUGCCUUCUCUGCGUCAAUUGAGAUAAUCAUGUGGUUUUCGUUUUUGGUUCUGUUUAUGUGGUGAAUUACGUUGAUAGACUUGCGUAUGUUGAACCAGCCUUGCAUCACU
rnacentral:lncRNA from 1 species